CAAGCUGACUGUCCAGGGUGAGUUGC
rnacentral:piRNA from 1 species